rnacentral:rRNA from 1 species
CGCAACCUACGGGGGGCAGCAGUGGGGGAUAUUGCACAACGGGGGAAACCCUGAUGCAGCGACGCCGCGUGGGUGAAGAAGCGCCUCGGCGCGUAAAGCCCUGUCAGCAGGGAAGAAAAUGACGGUACCUGAAGAAGAAGCCCCGGCUAACUACGUGCCAGCAGCCGCGGUAAUACGUAGGGGGCAAGCGUUAUCCGGAUUUACUGGGUGUAAAGGGGGCGCAGACGGCGAUGCAAGCCAGGAGUGAAAGCCCGGGGCCCAACCCCGGGGCUGCUCUUGGAACUGCGUGGCUAGAGUGCAGGCGG